GUCUUAUUGAAAAUAUUUUUAAGUCUAAUCUGCCCAUUGAUAUUUAAAAGGCCGCAGUAUUAUGACUGUGCAAAGGUAGCAUAAUCAAUAGUUUUUUAAUUGGAGACUGGAAUGAAUGAUUGAAUAAGAAAAGAACUUUUUUUAUUUUAGAAUUUGAAUUUUAAUUUUAAGUGAAAAUGCUUAAAUUUUAAUAAGGGACGAGAAGACCCUAAAAUUUUUAUUAUUUGUGAAGAAUUUAAUUUAAGAAAUUUUUUAAGAUUUUUUAUUAAUAAUUUAAUUGGGGUGAUUUUUUAAUAUGAAUAACUUAUUUAUUGCUAAAACUUUUUUAAAAAAAUUUUUUGAUCCAUAAUUUAUGAUUUUUAGUUUAAAUUACUUUAGGGAUAACAGCGUAAUUUUAUUUUGAAGUUCUUAUUUAUAAUAAAGUUUGCGACCUCGAUGUUGAAUUAAAAAUUUUUGUAGGGGUAGAUUUUUACAAAGAUAGUCUGUUCGACUAUUAAAUUUU
rnacentral:rRNA from 1 species